AUCUGCUUUGCAGGAAAUCCGUACAGUGAAGGAGGGACCUGAGUGAGUUUCCAUGAGUCUGGCCUGUGCCCGCCUCAGCUGGGGUGCAGGAAGAGACCCGCCCUCACCUGGUUAACCUCCUAUGUCCAAAUGGUCUUCCUCUCUCUGCCUGUGGCCCGGCAGAAUGGACAGAGUCUAACACCAUGCCACCGAGGCCCUUCCACCAGUACCUGGCAAUGCUGGCCAUCGGGCACAAUCCCAACUGCACAGAGGCAACCUUCUCCACACCUCACACACGCUCUGCUUCAACCAUCAGAUAUAGUCCGGGAGGAAAGAAACCCCCCUGCUAUCCACGGACGGAACGUCACGGAGGCCACAGUGACGGACAAACGGGAGUGGCGAUGGGGUAAACGGACCGUGGGUCCGGAGGGGAGCGCGGGCAGGGCUCAGCUGGUGCGCCGACGAGCACCGCGCGACCCGGGGGACCAGCGCCGCUUCCUCACAGACAGACGUCUCCAGGAGCUCGGUGGUGUUAGCGGAGCAGCACAGCGAUGGCUGCAGGGUAUGUAGCUACCGAACAUGACAUCCAACUGUCGGCUGAUAGCAACUGGGAAGGAAAGAUAUGAAGGAGCGGAGUACAGCUUGGGGGGGGGUGUAAGACAAAACAUCUGCUGGUACCAGAGCAGGACCUUAUCAGCUCAUCAUUACCAUGAAUCUUUUAUGAAGAGCUGCAAGAGGGGGGGGGUGAAGGGGGGUGAAGGGGGGAGGAGGUGUGAGGCUCAAAUGGCAGGAACCCCCCCCCCACAAUCCGGCUCACGACAUUUGUCGUACAGUAAAUAAGUCCACAGUUCGAGUAGGGGAUACAUACAUUUGCACAGGGAAUAAAUAGAUACGAUAACAUGAAAAAAAAAUUAUAAAAAUGGUUGCAGUCAUUAGAGAUGGGCUGCGGAAUUCGCGCUUUGAUUUCAGCGCGCAGUCCUGCGUGCGCGUGUUCAGCGUAACUUUUAAACCCUUCCCCCCCGUGCCCCCCCC